rnacentral:tRNA from 1 species
CCCUGGGUGGCUGAAAUGGUUGAUGCUCUCAGCUGCUAACCUAGAAGUUGGAGGUUUGAGUCCUCCCACAGGCA